rnacentral:rRNA from 1 species
AUGCAAGUCGAACGGUAACAGGAUGUGCUUGCACAUCGCUGACGAGUGGCGGACGGGUGAGUAAUGCUUGGGAACUUGCCUUUGCGAGGGGGAUAACAGUUGGAAACGACUGCUAAUACCGCAUAAUGUCUUCGGACCAAACGGGGCUCCGGCUCCGGCGCAAAGAGAGGCCCAAGUGAGAUUAGCUAGUUGGUAAGGUAACGGCUUACCAAGGCGACGAUCUCUAGCUGUUCUGAGAGGAAGAUCAGCCACACUGGGACUGAGACACGGCCCAGACUCCUACGGGAGGCAGCAGUGGGGAAUAUUGCACAAUGGGGGAAACCCUGAUGCAGCCAUGCCGCGUGUGUGAAGAAGGCCUUCGGGUUGUAAAGCACUUUCAGUUGUGAGGAAAAGUUGGUAGUUAAUACCUGCUAGCCGUGACGUUNACAACAGAAGAAGCACCGGCUAACUCCGUGCCAGCAGCCGCGGUAAUACG